ensembl:snoRNA Small nucleolar RNA SNORD61
GCUGUGAUGACACUUUGUGGCAUUGAUCUGUUGGAAAUGACUGUCCACAAUCAUCCUCUAAGAAGUUCUGAGCUU